rnacentral:rRNA from 1 species
UGGCGGACGGGUGAGUAACGUGUAAAGAACUUACCAUAUAGACUGGGAUAACAGAGGGAAACUUCUGAUAAUACUGGAUAAGUUAGUAGUAGCAUUACUAAGUAAUGAAAGGUAGCAAUACGCUAUAUGAGAGCUUUGCAUCCUAUUAGCUAGUUGGUGGGGUAAAAGCCUACCAAGGCGAUGAUAGGUAGCCGGCCUGAGAGGGUGGACGGCCACAAGGGUACUGAGAUACGGCCCUUACUCCUACGGGAGGCAGCAGCC